AAACGAUGUGGGAAGGCCCAGACAGCCAGGAUGUUGGCUUAGAAGCAGCCAUCAUUUAAAGAAAGCGUAAUAGCUCACUGGUCGAGUCGGCCUGCGCGGAAGAUGUAACGGGGCUAAACCAUGCACCGAAGCUGCGGCAGCGACACUGUGUGUUGUUGGGUAGGGGAGCGUUCUGUAAGCCUGUGAAGGUGUGCUGUGAGGCAUGCUGGAGGUAUCAGAAGUGCGAAUGCUGACAUAAGUAACGAUAAAGCGGGUGAAAAGCCCGCUCGCCGGAAGACCAAGGGUUCCUGUCCAACGUUAAUCGGGGCAGGGUGAGUCGACCCCUAAGGCGAGGCCGAAAGGCGUAGUCGAUGGGAAACAGGUUAAUAUUCCUGUACUUGGUGUUACUGCGAAGGGGGGACGGAGAAGGCUAUGUUGGCCGGGCGACGGUUGUCCCGGUUUAAGCGUGUAGGCUGGUUUUCCAGGCAAAUCCGGAAAAUCAAGGCUGAGGCGUGAUGACGAGGCACUACGGUGCUGAAGCAACAAAUGCCCUGCUUCCAGGAAAAGCCUCUAAGCAUCAGGUAACAUCAAAUCGUACCCCAAACCGACACAGGUGGUCAGGUAGAGAAUACCAAGGCGCUUGAGAGAACUCGGGUGAAGGAACUAGGCAAAAUGGUGCCGUAACUUCGGGAGAAGGCACGCUGAUAUGUAGGUGAAGUCCCUCGCGGAUGGAGCUGAAAUCAGUCGAAGAUACCAGCUGGCUGCAACUGUUUAUUAAAAACACAGCACUGUGCAAACACGAAAGUGGACGUAUACGGUGUGACGCCUGCCCGGUGCCGGAAGGUUAAUUGAUGGGGUCAGCGCAAGCGAAGCUCUUGAUCGAAGCCCCGGUAAACGGCGGCCGUAACUAUAACGGUCCUAAGGUAGCGAAAUUCCUUGUCGGGUAAGUUCCGACCUGCACGAAUGGCGUAAUGAUGGCCAGGCUGUCUCCACCCGAGACUCAGUGAAAUUGAACUCGCUGUGAAGAUGCAGUGUACCCGCGGCAAGACGGAAAGACCCCGUGAACCUUUACUAUAGCUUGACACUGAACAUUGAGCCUUGAUGUGUAGGAUAGGUGGGAGGCUUUGAAGUGUGGACGCCAGUCUGCAUGGAGCCGACCUUGAAAUACCACCCUUUAAUGUUUGAUGUUCUAACGUGGACCCGUGAUCCGGGUUGCGGACAGUGUCUGGUGGGUAGUUUGACUGGGGCGGUCUCCUCCUAAAGAGUAACGGAGGAGCACGAAGGUUGGCUAAUCCUGGUCGGACAUCAGGAGGUUAGUGCAAUGGCAUAAGCCAGCUUGACUGCGAGCGUGACGGCGCGAGCAGGUGCGAAAGCAGGUCAUAGUGAUCCGGUGGUUCUGAAUGGAAGGGCCAUCGCUCAACGGAUAAAAGGUACUCCGGGGAUAACAGGCUGAUACCGCCCAAGAGUUCAUAUCGACGGCGGUGUUUGGCACCUCGAUGUCGGCUCAUCACAUCCUGGGGCUGAAGUAGGUCCCAAGGGUAUGGCUGUUCGCCAUUUAAAGUGGUACGCGAGCUGGGUUUAGAACGUCGUGAGACAGUUCGGUCCCUAUCUGCCGUGGGCGCUGGAGAACUGAGGGGGGCUGCUCCUAGUACGAGAGGACCGGAGUGGACGCAUCACUGGUGUUCGGGUUGUCAUGCCAAUGGCACUGCCCGGUAGCUAAAUGCGGAAGAGAUAAGUGCUGAAAGCAUCUAAGCACGAAACUUGCCCCGAGAUGAGUUCUCCCUGACCCUUUAAGGGUCCUGAAGGAACGUUGAAGACGACGACGUUGAUAGGCCGGGUGUGUAAGCGCAGCGAUGCGUUGAGCUAACCGGUACUAAUGAACCGUGAGGCUUAACCUUACAACGCCGAAGGUGUUU
rnacentral:rRNA from 1 species